CCUACGGGAGGCAGCAGUGGGGAAUAUUGGACAAUGGGCGAAAGCCUGAUCCAGCAAUGCCGCGUGAGUGAUGAAGGCCUUCGGGUCGUAAAGCUCUUUUACCAGGGAUGAUAAUGACAGUACCUGGAGAAUAAGCUCCGGCUAACUCCGUGCCAGCAGCCGCGGUAAUACGGAGGGAGCUAGCGUUGUUCGGAAUUACUGGGCGUAAAGAGUACGUAGGCGGUUAUUCAAGUCAGAGGUGAAAGCCCGGGGCUCAACCCCGGAACUGCCUUUGAAACUAGAUAACUAGAGUCUUGGAGAGGUUAGUGGAAUUCCGAGUGUAGAGGUGAAAUUCGUAGAUAUUCGGAAGAACACCAGUGGCGAAGGCGACUAACUGGACAAGUACUGACGCUGAGGUACGAAAGCGUGGGGAGCAAACAGGAUUAGAUACCCUGGCAGUCCACGCCGUAAACGAUGAUAACUAGUUGUUCGGUCACUUGGUGACUGAGUGACGCAGCUAACGCAUUAAGUUAUCCGCCUGGGGAGUACGGUCGCAAGAUUAAAACUCAAAGGAAUUGACGGCUGAGACGNGCGACGCGACGACGAGGGAGUAGG
rnacentral:rRNA from 1 species